UGCUAGCGCGCCCUAGUUAUACUGAACACUCAGCCAAAUUUUAAAUUUUCACUCUUUCCCUCCAUUAAUUGGACAAAAUUUUACUUUGAUGUCAACUAGUAUUUAAAGAAACUAACCCUAGAAACCCAACACACUCUCUCUCUCUUCCUCGGCCGCACGCCCAAUUCUCGGUUCUCUCUCCCUUCCAUUUCUCCCUGCCAUCGCUGGAGACCACCAUUUCUAGCCACCAAUUCACGACACUGCCACCACCAAUCGAACCAGCACCUCAAUAUGAUCAAAACCCAAUCCCAGCACCGCCAUGCACCGACUCCUGCCUCCACAUGCGAUCCUCCAAGCAGCGACGCUGCUGCUCCCUUACCUUCAUUGAUUUCUGGCCUCCCUCUUGCAACACCUCCACCACCGCUUUGAUUCAGUAAGCUUUGAACUCUCCUUGUUGUCAAAAUCGAAGAUUCAGUUCUAAAGAUUAUGGAUUUUGAUUUGCAUUUUUGAAUUUGGAGGUCCUGUGGGUCUUGAAUGGAAAAGUUUGAGUACUGAAGCAGAGGAGAGUAGCUAUGAAUACGUGAUGGUUCAGAGGCAGAGAAAGGUAAGAACUCUAGUUUUAAAUUUUGGAUUUAGAUUAGUUGAUUUGGAUUAAAUGGAUUUCUAACCUUGAGAUUUCUGGACUUGGAGGAAAUAACGGAAUUCAGUGGAAGGAGAGCUCUUGAUUUGGACUUUGUUGAGCUCUUCUUCCUCUCUCCUUUUCUCUGUUCUCUUCCUCAGCACACUUUCUUCUUUCUAUCCUUCUUGAUCUUUAGAUUAAUUUUUGUUCAGAUUUGUUUCACUUUGUCUCUCGAUCUGUACCGUAGCUCUUAAUCUUCAUGCACCAAACGGUCGUGUUUCUUUGCUGGCCGGAAAAGGUCGGAGCUUCACCAAAUUUCCGUCAAAUCUGGCCACUUCAAUAGCAGAGAUCUACUAAUCAGUCUGCGUCUUUCAAAAUCCUCUAUAAACCCCAACAAGAAAUUUGAGCAGAUCACAAAGGCUCAGCUCGAAGUCAUUAGUUGACAGACGGUGGUUUACUCUCUCUACUCGCCAAAGCUCAAGAGAGCGUCAUGGAGGUUCAGAACUAGGUCGAGCUUGACAAUUGAUUCAUCUACAGGUACUACAUCCCUGUUUAAUAGGGCCUGGAUUUUAGUAGGGAUUUUAAUUGGGACUGGAAAUUUUCAAUUUGGGUUUGAUGGGUAUGAUUGGGAGAGUAUAAAGCUAAAAUCUUUGGUAUUGUGUAUUGGUUCUUGAUUUGUAGUAAAGCUUGUUAUGCAAUUUCAUAAAUAAAUGAAACAGGUGGUUUAUAGACUUGAUCAAGUGAGAGCCUUAGAUGAAGAGUUGCUACUGAGAAUAAAUCAGCAAGGGCUUCCUGCGAAGCCUCAGAUUCUUAUGGUGACGCAACUCAUUCCAGACUCUCUAGGGACUAAGUGCAAUGUGGAGUUGGAGGUUAUAGUCAACACUAAGCACUCCCACAUUCUCUCUAUAUUGGUCUUGGGUUUAUGUUUAUUACAACAUUUAAGCAUUGUGGGAAUUUUUAUGUGUUGUAGAGUGGGCAUGGAAAAUUGGCAAGGCAAAUGACCCUGUUGAUGGCUUUCUGUGAUUACUUGGGGAACUGUAAAAGGAUGUGGUAUCAGCUCCUAGACCGAGUUGCCCUCCUGUUAGGAGAAUGACGUACAACUACAGGAGAUGAGGAGGAUAAUGCAUUGGAAUAUGGAUUGCCAUCUUCUCACACUCUAAACACAGUUUGCUUGUCUGGGAGCAAUGGAGGCUGACUGGAAGUUACUGAUUACACACAUGGAAGGAAAGUUAGAGGAAGUUGACAAAGAGAAUGAAAAAAAUGAGAAGAGAAAGAAGAAGGAAAAGUGUGGUUAUCGCUAUGCUUUUGACCUACCUUGGAUUCUAGAAAUUCUAAUGUUUUUGGUCUUUAUGUUUAGAUAAUUAUUGUAGAUGUUG